ACUGAGUUAACUUGCUCAUGUAGUGCUAGUGCAGGCUCUCUCUUACUUGCUCGUGGGCCUUUGUGUCGGUCGGCUGUCUGCUGGCCUGGUGGUCUGUGUCCCGACUAUGUGUAUGGCAGGUCUGCGAGUCACCGGUGGGCAUUGGACUUGGCCUUAGGGGCCCUUUUCGGGAUUGUGUCUGUUUCUAGUAGGCGCUGGAGGAAUGUUCACCAUCAGGGGGUAAGGUUAGUGUUUCCUCCCCUCUCUGUGUAAUCAAUGGUCUGUCCGCCCCCCACC